UAGGGAAUCUUCCACAAUGGGCGAAAGCCUGAUGGAGCAACGCCGCGUGUGUGAUGAAGGGUUUCGGCUCGUAAAACACUGUUGUAAGAGAAGAAUGACAUUGAGAGUAACUGUUCAAUGUGUGACGGUAUCUUACCAGAAAGGAACGGCUAAAUACGUNCCAC
rnacentral:rRNA from 1 species